rnacentral:rRNA from 1 species
UAACGACUCUCGGCAACGGAUAUCUCGGCUCACGCAUCGAUGAAGAACGUAGCAAAAUGCGAUACUUGGUGUGAAUUGCAGAAUCCCGUGAACCAUCGAGUUUUUGAACGCAAGUUGCGCCCGAAACCAUCCGGUUGAGGGCACGUCUGCCUGGGCGUCACGCA